UUCCAUCAACAGUGUACACAGGCCGGAAGUGAAGAGAGGGCUCAGGCCAAUGAACUAAAGAUUUUAUCUUCAGAAAUUACAACAGGUAACAUUAGUUUUAGCCCAAAUGAUCAGAAGAAAGGGGUACCAAAUAGAGCAUAAUUUAGUGUGGAAAUCAGGGACAUCAGAGAAACAGUCAGUUAGGUUUGUGAACUCCUGUGAGACAGAGAGACAAGGCAUUAGACCGAUGGAGGAAGGGGCCAAGGCUAAGUAAUAAAGGUGAGAAUUUCCAUAAUGGCUGGCUUCCUCCUCUGACUUGAGCUUUUGUUUCUCUGUAGGUCCCCUGGUGAUGGAGUGGCUCACCAAGUUCAAGGCUGGAUCAAUCCAUGUCACAUGAGAGUUGUGGACCAAUCAACUAGCAUGUCUGUGUUCAAACUGACCACCCCUAAAGCAGAGGAGGAAAUGGUCCCAGCUAUAAAGCCCAGCCCUUAAGAAGAGCCUGGAUUCUCAGCUUCUGGGUCCACUUCCUGAUCGGUGAAAACGAGAACAAGCUGCACAGGAAGUGGAAGCUGCUACAGAGGAAACUGCCAUAAACGUCUCUGCCAUGUCUUACCCGCCAUGAUGGACCGAGCCCCUCCUAAUGUGCACUUCUGUGCUUCUCCCAGGCCUUCUUGGUGACUUAGUCUGCCGGAGACUGGUGAUGUUGCCUCAUACUCCCUCCUCAUUGGCUGGAUCAGAAACCAGCAUCUGUAAAGCCUCUUUGUCAUCGGAUGUCUCUAGUUCAGCUUUCGUGGGUCUCCUGUCGCUAUCGCUGGGCUAUGCUGUUUCUCUGCUUUUAAGGUGAAGAGAACACACCACUCACCAAGUACAUCGCUGUGUACUCAGAAAUACGGACUCACCCAGUCUUCACACUGGUCCUCUGAGGUGGUAUCGCCAUUCAUACUAGGGAUGGGGAAGCCGGUGCAGGAGCACUAAGGAACCUGUGUGAAGUCCCAGGACAAAGAUGAAGCACCCAAGCACCCCGGUUUCAGAGGAGGGUGAUGUAACCGUCUGCCCUGCGCCUCUCAUUGCUGGUGGGGCAAUACAUACACACGUACAUACAUACAUGCAUACAUACAUACAUGCAUAUGUAUUUCAUAUGACCACUGUCACUACCCACAUGGGACAACUGAAGGAGUCUGCCUGGACAUUUCCUCCACCUUUCCCCACAUCCUGCAUUCAUCCUGUCUUAGGGAUGGGGGUCUGCUGCUGUCGCUGAGUGUGCCCUUUCCUCUCAGGUCCUGAGGGGUGAAGUCUGCGCAGACAGCUGUGUGGACAGUCCAGGGUCCACGGGGGAUGUAAUGCCUGGUGUCGGCUGGGAGACUCCAGAUCCUGAUUUACGUCUUCAGCGUCACAAAGCGCCUUCCAGGAGCACUGUGGCGGCUAUCAGAAUCGGUUUACAGGGCAGGACGGUUGCUACGGCUCCCGGUUCAGAGGUUUCAGCCUAUAGUCUCUCGGUUCCAUCUCCUGGGGUUAUAGUGAGGUAGAUCAUCAUGGCGAGACACAGAGGGGGAGAAAACAAACUGCUCAUCUUAUGGCUGCCUGGAAGCAAGGAAAGAGGAAGGGUCCAGAGACUCUAUGUCUCCAACUGCUGAUUUCCUUCUGUCCUCCACCUCCUAAUGCCCCUGCCUUCUCUUAGUAAUGUCCUGGCAGGAACCAAGUCUUUGAUAUUCUCGGUAGCCUUCAGGACAGAGGCUGUAAACCAGAAAGCGAUGUAUGUACAGGUUACCACGGAUGGCAGAGAUGCUUCCAAAAUGCAUCUGCUUCAAGCCACUGGCCUGCAGCCUGCAUUUCUUCUGUAAAUGAACUUGAAUCUUCUGAAGUUCAAAUGGCGCGUCUGUGCUCGCUCUGCGGCCUGCACGACUCUUUCUUUGGAUUUUCUAAAGUGUUACUUAAAGAGAAAAGCUUGGACAAUUAUAAAUCCCAUUAUA
rnacentral:sRNA from 1 species